AUGGCCAUAUCAUCUUGAAACAUUGGUUCCCAUAUGAUCACCGAAGUUAAGUAAUGUCAAGCUUGAUCAGUACCUAGAUGGGUGACUGUUUGGGGAUACCAUGUGCUGUAA